UAAUCCAUACGUAAUUAACGUAAUUAGUUAAAUUUAUAUUUAAUUAUUUUAA
rnacentral:tRNA from 1 species